CUAAACCCUAAACCCUAAACCCUAAACCCUAAACCCUAAACCCUAAACCCUAAACCCUAAACCCUAAACCCUAAACCCUAAACCCUAAACCCUAAACCCUAAACCCUAAACCCUAAACUCUAACCCUAAACCCUAAACCCUAAAAACCCUAAACCCUAAACCCUAAACCCUAAACCCUAAACCCUAAACCCUAAACCCUAAACCCUAAACCCUAAACCCUAAACCCUAAACCCUAAACCCUAAACCCUAAACCCUAAACCCUAAACCCUAAACCCUAAACCCUAAACCCUAAACCCUAAACCCUAAAACCCUAAACCCUAAACCCUAAACCCUAAACCCUAAACCCUAAACCCUAAACCCGACACUUCAAAAGAUAGAAUUGGAAAGAGUUAUCUGUACGAGGAUUACACCAGCUCGAGUGAUGAUGACGUUCAUGUUAAUGUCCGUAUCGGCAUUUCAGACUCAGAGAUUAUGGAGGGUUCUGCUAUCGAGAAAUUGGGCGGACAGAGAAUUAUCACUUCUACGGAGGGUUUUGCGGAAGUUGCUCCACGGAAGGGCUACAAGAUGUCCCGUAGACGCCGGCGAUAUUGAUAUCAUAUGUUUAUUGUAGUUUGUAUUUUGCUUGUCUUGUUGAUGUUUGCUGUUUGCUCUGGAGGUUUGGUCUAUGCCCCCCUCCAGUAUUGUAUUUUAUUUUCCUUUACUUUCUUUUUAUCUACAGGUAGGGGUCCCGCCUAACCCCCCACCUAAAACCCUAAACCCUAAACCCUAAACCCUAAACCCUAAACCCUAAACCCUAAACCCUAAACCCUAAACCCUAAACCCUAAACCCUAAACCCUAAACCCUAAACCCUAAACCCUAAACCCUAAACCCUAAACCCUAAACCCUAAACCGUGUAUGUUUAUUGGGGAUUUUGGAGUUGCUUUGAAUGCCCGAUCAAUUUUGGAAGUUUUGAUUUACUAUUCCAUGAAUAGUGCCGAUACCUAAAUCAUAGAUCCGGCCAAAUUUCCGGCGAGUGCAACCUCACCACCCAAUCAGAAUUGUUCCCCUCUGACCGAUCUAAGUUUCCAUAGCUUAUAUGCGAAUUUUGGAGGUGAAUUGAAGCCUACACGACUGUUUAAAGUUUCGAGUUACUAUUCCAGCUACAGUGCUGUUCUUCAUGCUACAGUAUUUUGUUCAUCUUAGCUACAGUAAACGUGAUCUCAACAGUGCUUGUUCGCUACAGUACCCGUAAUCACUACAGUACAUGUUGCUACAGUGAUUUCGGGGCACUAUUCACAGAACUUGGGAUUUUGGGCAUUUUUCUUCCGGGAUCUCUCGUUGCGCCACUCGGCCCGAAUGGCUUCUCCGGCCAUGGCCGGUGGCCAUCCGGCUACUUCUUUGGAGUUCCCGCCGCUUCCGUCGUUUGCACAAAUGGCGGCAAAACCGCCCACUGCUCAACCCUGCAAAUCGUUUGUGGAUGCCGCUGUUGAGUCUCAAAGAGCUGCUCCGGCUAUUGCUUUCAGGCAAUCCUCGACCCACAGAGGCGAGCCGGCCAUAUUUUUCUCCGAGGAAGAAAUUAACAUCAUGGCCGCACCGUUCAAGCUUGCUUUGGUGGGUAAGUUUUCCUUCGGCCGCCCUCCCAUUGAUGUUAUCCGCAAAUUUUUUGUGGCUCUUGGCUUGAAGGGAAAUUGUGAAAUCUCAUUAUUGGAUCCUCGCCACAUCCUUAUCCACCUGCACCUGGAAGAGGACUAUACGAGAAUUUGGCUCCGCCAAUCUUGGUUUAUUGAUGGCCGAGCUAUGAGGGUGUUCAAAUGGUCCACAACUUUUCACAGUUCGGAAGAGUCGCCGAUUGUUCCGGUAUGGGUCUCCUUGCCGUUUUUACCUGUCCAUUACAUGAGAUGCAAAGAGGCUCUGUAUUCGAUUGCUGCUGCCAUCGGUAAACCGCUUCGGAUCGAUCAUGCCACCGCCGCGGUCAGUAGGCCUACUGUUGCUAGAGUCCUCAUUGAGUAUGACAUUUCUAGGCCUCUAUUGAAGCGGUUAUGGAUCGGCGAAAAAGACACUGGAUUCUGGCAGUAUAUUAUCUUCGAAAAGGUGCCUCGGUAUUGUGCUGCCUGCAAGCACGUGGGCCACUCUGAUGAUUCUUGCUAUAUCAACAAACCCGAGUUGCGGAAAGCGGACCGUGUUGGCCCAGUUCAGCAACCUGUUGUUCCUGAUGGUGAGCGUAACAAGACGAAGGCACCUAUGAAGACUCAGUAUGUCCAGAAAGCUGAUAACAGAACCCAGAACACGGUAACAAAUGUAGCGGCCACAGUUCUUCCUCCGGUUGUUCAUAAUGGUCCUACCACCAGUGCCGAAACCAGGGAAGCACAAAAUGAUGUUCCUCCUGCUAAAACGACACAAGUUGCCAUUUCUGAUCCUCCCGCCGUUGCUGACAUACCUCCUCUGCGCACAGUCACCCAGCCUUCUGUUGUGUGUGCCUCUUCUGAGCCCACGUGCAGUGACCUCGUUCCUGCUGUUACUGGUGCUGAUUCCACGGUCACUACUCCUACACCUCUUGUAGCUCUUCAGCCGUUGAGUGGUGAUCAUGCCGCUCAUGUGGGAAUUACAGCCGGUGAUCUUAUUUAUCGUGAGAUUCCUGCUUGGGAUCCUUAUCGCCAUCAAGGGCGAUUUUACCGCAGCUCAUCCUGGCAGACGGCCAGUUCAUGUGAUACUUUUCCAGACAUUCCGUCUACCGAUGUCUUGGCAAUCCAAUGUGCUCCACAUGAUGCUACGCCGAUAUGCACUCUUAAUACUGAAUCCACUGAUGUCCCUGAGGUAUCUCCUGCACCCGACACUUCAAAAGAUAGAAUUGGAAAGAGUUAUCCGUACGAGGAUUACACCAGCUCGAGUGAUGAUGACGUUCAUGUUAAUGUCCGUAUCGGCAUUUCAGACUCAGAGAUUAUGGAGGGUUCUGCUAUCGAGAAAUUGGGCGGACAGAGAAUUAUCACUUCUACGGAGGGUUUUGCGGAAGUUGCUCCACGGAAGGGCUACAAGAUGUCCCGUAGACGCCGGCGAUAUUGAUAUCAUAUGUUUAUUGUAGUUUGUAUUUUGCUUGUCUUGUUGAUGUUUGCUGUUUGCUCUGGAGGUUUGGUCUAUGCCCCCCUCCAGUAUUGUAUUUUAUUUUCCUUUACUUUCUUUUUAUCUACAGGUAGGGGUCCCGCCUAACCCCCCACCUCCGGGUGGUUUCUAAUAAAAAAAAAAAAACCCUAAACCCUAAACCCUAAACCCUAAACCCUAAACCCUAAACCCUAAACCCUAAACCCUAAACCCUAAACCCUAAACCCUAAACCCUAAACCCUAAACCCUAAACCAAACCCUAAACCAAACCAAACCAUUAUUCCCGGAUCUGCUACAGUAGCGUUUUGCUACAGUGACAAUUUUCUCUCAAUCGCUACAGUGAUGCCGAGCCUUUAAUUCAACUUUCCGGCCAAUUUCCGGUGAGUGAAUGUACACCUCCACUUCCAGCACGUCGGCCUUUGAAUUCCCUUCGAUUUGAUAUGUUGCUUGGAAAUUAUGGAGCACGUUUGGAGCUUGAAAGAUUGAAGUGAAGUCGGAUUACUAUGCGUGCUACAGUACCCGAAUGCUAGUUUCGGUUUUCCGACCACAUUUUCCGACAAGUAAGCUUACACCUCCCUCUUAAACAUAUUCACCCUUCGUUGAUCUACAUUUCUGUGUGUUUAUUGGGGAUUUUGGAGUUGAUUUGAAUACCCGAUCAAGCUUUGAUGUUUCGGUUUACUAUUCAAUGAAUAGUGCCGAUAUCUAAAUCCUAGAUCCGGCGAUAUUUCCGGCGAGUGAAUUCUCACCUCCCCCUCAGAAUUGUUCCCCUCUGAACGAUCUACGUUUCCAUACCUUAUAUGAGCAUUUUGGAGGUGAUUUGAAGCCUACACGAUAAUUUGAAUUUCGGAUUUACUAUUCCUGCUACAGUGUUGUUCUUCGUACUAUAGUGUCUGUUCUUCAAUGCUACAGUACCCGUGAUCUCAACAGUGUUUGUUCGCUACAGUACCCGAGAUCGCUACAGUGACUGUUUGCUACAGUGAUUUCAGGGCAUUAUUCACAGAACUUGGGAUUUUGGGCAUUUUUCUCCCAGGGUCUCCCGUCACGCAACUUGGCCCGAAUGGCUUCUCCGGCCAUGGCCGGUGGCCAUCCGGCUACUUCUUUGGAGUUCCCGCCGCUUCCGUCGUUUGCACAAAUGGCGGCAAAACCGCCCACUGCUCAACCCUGCAAAUCGUUUGUGGAUGCCGCUGCUGGGUCUCAAAGAGCUGCUCCGGCCAUUUCAUUCAGGCAAUCCUCGACCCAUAGAGGCGAGCCGGCCAUUUUUUUCACCGAGGAAGAAAUUAACAUCAUGGCCGCGCCAUUCAAGCUCGCUCUAGUUGGUAAGUUUUCCUUCGGCCGCCCUCCUAUUGAUGUUAUCCGCAAAUUUUUUGUGGCUCUUGGCUUGAAGGGAAAUUGUGAAAUCUCAUUAUUGGAUCCUCGGCACAUCCUUAUCCACCUGCACCUGGAAGAGGACUAUACGAGAAUUUGGCUCCGCCAAUCUUGGUUUAUUGAUGGCCGAGCUAUGAGGGUGUUCAAAUGGUCCACAACUUUUCACAGUUCAGAGGAGUCGCCGAUUGUUCCGGUAUGGGUCUGUUUGCCAUUUUUACCUAUCCAUUACAUGAGAUGCAAAGAGGCUCUGUAUUCGAUUGCUGCUGCCAUCGGUAAACCGCUUCGUAUUGAUCAUGCCACCGCCGCGGUCAGUAGGCCUACUGUUGCUAGAGUCCUCAUUGAGUAUGACAUUUCUAGGCCUCUAUUGAAGCGGUUAUGGAUCGGCGAAAAAGACACCGGAUUCUGGCAGUAUAUUAUUUUCGAAAAGGUGCCUCGGUAUUGUGCUGCCUGCAAGCACGUGGGCCACUCUGAUGAUACUUGCUAUAUCAACAAACCCGAGUUACGGAAAGCAGACCGUGUCGGCCCAGUUCAGCAAACUGUUGUUCCUGAUGGUGAGGGUAACAAGACAAAGGCACCUAUGAAGACUCAGUAUGUUCAGAAAGCUGAUAACAGAAACCAGAGUACGGUAACAAAUGAAGCGGCAACAGUUGUUCCUCCGAUUGUUCAUAAUGAUCCUACCACCAGUGCCGAAACCAGGGAAGCAUCAAAUGAAGUUCCUACUGCUGAAGCGACACAAGUUGCCAUUUCUGAUCCUACUGCUGUUGCUGACAUACCUCCUUUGAGUACAGUCACCCAGCCUUCAGUUGUGUGUGCCUCUCCCGAGCCCAUGUGCAGUGACCUCGUUCCUGCUGUUACUGGUGCUGAUUCUACGGUCACUACUCCUACACCACUUCCAGCUCGUGUGCCACUGAGCGGUGAUCAUGCCGCUCGUGUGGGAAUCCAAUGUGCUCCACAUGAUGCUGCGCCGAUAUGCACUUUCAAUACCGAAUCCACUGAUGUCCCUGAGGUAUCUCCUACACUCAACACUUCAAAAGAUAGAAUUGGAAGGAGCUAUCGGUUCGAGGAUUACACCGACGAGAGUGAUGGAAGUCCUGAAGAUGUCAGUAUCGACAUUUGUUCAGACUCAGAGCU
rnacentral:lncRNA from 1 species